UACGAAGGGGGCUAGCGUUGCUCGGAAUUACUGGGCGUAAAGGGCGCGUAGGCGGAUAUCUAAGUCGGGGGUGAAAGCCCAGGGCUCAACCCUGGAACAGCCUUCGAUACUGGAUAUCUUGAGUUCGGGAGAGGUGAGUGGAAUGCCGAGUGUAGAGGUGAAAUUCGUAGAUAUUCGGCGGAACACCAGUGGCGAAGGCGACUCACUGGCCCGAUACUGACGCUGAGGCGCGAAAGCGUGGGGAGCAAACAGG
rnacentral:rRNA from 1 species